rnacentral:lncRNA from 1 species
UUUUAUUUUAUUUUAUUUUAUUUUAUUUUACUAUUUCUUUUUCACCCGGGGCCACAUGACGUUCAUUAGAAUAAUAACCCUCUUGACUCCAGUGGGUACAUGGGAGAAAACAUAUCUUGCCUGUCCCAAUGCAAUUAUUUCUGGAAUGGAAAUCACCAACUACUAAACGAGUUAUAAUUCUGUUCAUGUGUUGAAACCGAUAACCUCAGACAGAGAGAUUGCUAAUAUCGUCAGGCAUAAGAACUGACCUUAAUUUAUUUGGUAGACGGUUAUUGAGAACACAUCCAGGGCAAGGGGAUUCCUGCCGUCUCAAAGUGGGGUCUUCCCAAACCAGUUUGACCCUUUUCAGGAAAAACAGCCUCAUCUCUUCACCCCGUAAGGUCUCAAAGGCAGAGGUAGUCUUGUUCUGGUGGCAAAUACUCUUCUACAUCUUUUCCCUCCAAAAGGAAGCUUCACCCGGCGUCUACUGGUUGCCAACACACCCAGAGCUCCCCUAGAAGAACUCAUUCAACUCCGCGCCGUCGCAAGGCAUCUAGAAGCUGAGACCCACCAGUUCUGAGGAAGCCCACCCCUUGCGAAGAUCCUUCAGGGUUAGGGACGGGUACCUACAACCAUGCUGCCCGUUCUCUAGGGGGUGUUUAUUGGAACCCGGUGGCAGGCCCAGGAAAGAAAGGGGACACGGGUAGGCGGGGGCCGUGGCUGCAGUUCAUUGACUGGGGGAGAGUCUGGCCCCAGUGGAUGGAAUCCGAGGUGUGCUUUCAUUUUUUUUUUUUAAGAUUUUAUGUAUUUGGGGAUCCCUGGGUGGCUCGGUUUAGCACCUGCCUUUGGCCCAGGGCGAUCAUGCCCUGAGCCGCCCAGGCGUCCCCAGAGGCGUGACUUGGUGUCGAGUCCCGCGCUCACCUGCCCCGGCGAGAUGCUCAAUACUUGUCCCCCCACUUCCCUCCUGCGAGACCACUUUAUGUGAAUGUAGCAUUUUAAUCUGUUUACACGCGUCCUCUUAUUUGGUGCUCACGACGCUGGAGAUAAGCUCUAUCUUCUGUUUGGCGACACGGAUGGCCUGACAGGUCAGGUCUACGCGGCCCUAGGUCCCACGGCCAGCGUGUUUUAGGAUCCGUAACCUUCUGACUUGGAAGGCCUUCUCACCUUGGCGACCGUGUGACUCCAAGGGCGCUCGCCCCCCGCUAGCGCUCUGAGCACCUGGCCACUCUCUGGCUUGAAGCUCUCUUCACUGUGUCCUCGCACCCUCAAGGCGCUGAUCUUCCCUCUUCCGCUUGCUUCCCCUUCGUGGCUGAUGUUCACCGAGCCAUGGGCAAGGGUUCCCCACGCAGCACCUCGAGCUCUUCCAAGUCAAAGAAACCCGGCAAACAAGGCGCCUUCCAUUCUGGGCCUCAGUUUCCCUUUCAGCACUUCUCAAAUACCAAACACAAUUUGCAUUUUGCUAGAGGUGGAAAGGAUCCAUGGUGUAGCCGAAGCUGUGAUGGGGCCCUCACCCUGCUGGGGUGUGGACUUCGUGCUUCGCAUUUUUCCUGUGUUCUUCACUUGAUGCCCUAGCUUGAAUUUUUACCUAGAAUUUCAUUCUAAUCAUUAUAUAUAUAUAAUAUAUGUGGAGAUAUAUAUAUAUAUAAAUAUAUUAGAGACUUCCUUUUUAAUUUGGCAAUUUCAGUUGGAACGCUGGGCUUGGGAAAAAAAAUGUUCACGGAAAAACUGAAGGUUAAAUCAGUUUUAUUCUGUAAACAGUGCCUAAAUUAUCAUCUCCUUCCCAUAACAACCCAAUUAAUACGUUAGAGCGAAGCUGGAAAAGCCAAAACCGGUGCUGAAAACGUAGAGUUAGUGUGACACCGUCUGGUGAGGAACAUACUGCAUUUCAUCAACAGCAGCAAAACCUAAUUCAGACGAGGGUCCCCCAGAGAGCUUUUAUUCCAACAAAUCCACCUUUAGUGAGUACCUGGUGUUGUCUCAGGCCCUGGGGCGACGGACAGGGGACUGAAUGAGUCAUACACCCAACCAUCUAACCACCCCUUGGGGAAGAAAGAUCUCUUAUCUACACACCUAUCCUUGAUGACAAUCAAGGAUGUCAGCUCUUACAGUUAGGCUGGGUGUUCCUAAGGUGCUAUGGGGACGGGGCACCUGGGGGGCCCAGGGGUUGAGCGUCUGCCUUGGGCUCAGGGCGUGACCCUGGAUUCCCGGAAUCAAGCCCCACAUGGGGCUCCCUGCAUGGAGCCUGCUUCUCCCUCUGCCUGUGUCUCUGCCUCUCUUUCGGUGUCUCUCAUGAAUAAAUAAAUAAAAUCUUUUUAAAAAAAACCCAAAAACACACAAGAUGCUAGGGGGGCCCGCAGAGCCAUGGGCCGCAUAGAUCAAGGACAGCCUCACAGAGGCGGUGACCCCGAAGUCUUGAAGGAUGAGCCGUUUUCAUGAGGCGACAAGGUAGGAGGUGGGCAUGCAGUGGGGAAAGUGUCAGCCAGGGGAACGGGGGCAGCACGCGGGCAAGGCUGAGAGGCUGGCAGUGUGUGUGCACCGACCAGAAGUUAUUUCAGGCUCCCGGGGAAGACAGAGCAUGGGCAUGGGGAGAGCUGUGGCUAAGACCAGACAAGGGCCUCAACCCCAAAGGCUCUGGAAGCUUAGGUUAAGAAGUGUGGGUUCCACGAUCCAGGCUGCGGGGACCCCCUGGAGAUGUCAGCACGACAGGGAGAGGAUCAGAUUUUCCCACUAGAGCAGUCAGCCUGGCUCCAGGGAGGAGGGUGGGAGGACGACUAGUUCCUGUGCUGGCCAGGUAGGAAGCUGUUAACAUUGAAGAGAGGCUGACCUGGGCUGGGAAGGCGGGUGGGGUGGGGAGGGGGGUGCACAGUGCUUUAGGAAGGGGCAUCGGCCGCCAGCCGUGUGAGAGAACGUUGACAUGCAGGCUCUGAGAAAAAAAGAAGGAGUAUGGGUUUAUGCUUAUAUAGCCCCAAAUGAAAGGGAUAUUUCUUUUCCUUAAACAAAGAGAGAAAGCCCCACCUUUUAAUGCGGAUGUCUUCCUUCUCUUUGUGUGUGGUCUUCGGAAAGAGUUAAAAUAUUUCUCAUCAUAUGAGAGGAUAAUUGCUCCACAAUCCAAGCAUGCAAUUUUACAAACUAAAUUUGGAGACUUUCAAAAAAAUAUUGAUCGCACCUGAAAACAUUUAAUGAAUGCAAUUUGGAAACAAGGGCCCAGAGACACCAAUUUGAAUCAACAGUGCUUAAAUACUCCCAUAAAAAAAAAAAAAAA